rnacentral:lncRNA from 1 species
UGUGAUGUCACUAAUGCUACAGUCAAACUACAUCCUUCCAAUAUAAGCAAGGUAUUGAUAUUUAUCAUUGUUCAUAUAAGAUAUAUCUGAUAAAGUUUGUAUUGUAUAUUUAUUGACUUGGUAUGAGUGGAAUAGUUUUAUUGUCCCCAAGAGGUGCAACUUUUUAUCUGAGGUGUUUUUAUGCUGAGGGCAAUAGCUUUCUCCUAGGGGACAAUUAACUUACUUUUUCCUGAGUAUCCAGUCAGUAAGUGUUUUAAUAUACCAAAAGACAACAGACAAUUAAUGGCUGUGAUAAAUCAACUAUUGUAAUAUAUAUAUAAAAAGCACUAACCAAACCAUAAUGUUUACUUCAUAAAUAUUCUGAAAUGCUUAGUCAAAGUCUUGCACUGAUGUCAAUCCUAGAUAUAGUAGGUGAAAGGCAAUGUCGUACUAUUUUCAAAAUCCUCCAAUCUUGUAGCUGCAUUUGAAAUUAUGUAAAAUAUAAUGAUGCUUGUGAUGAAAUAGUUUCAUAGAGGUCUUAUAGUGGGAAGAGUUCAAUGUUUGAAAGAAUAGUCAAAAUAUUGUGUACUUAUUUCAUAUAGAAAAUGAUAACUGGGGUAUAAUAAAGUUUGUUAUUUACACUGAAAUGUUAUCAAAGUCAACCUUGAUUGUUCUAUAAUGAUUGAAGAUUCAGUUUUCUGAUGCUCAUGAUACAGGUGAUUUUUAAACAGUGUCCUAUGUUUAUUUUGUUGGGAUUAUUUUAAAAUGGACUGAAAUAAAAAGAAUAAUCAAAGAUACCAUGGUUAUAAUUCUAUAUGCCAGUCCACAUUUUGUAUAUAAAAGACUUAUCAAUGAAGUUGAAUUUAAAAAAUGUUAAAAGCUUUUAUAAUCUCACAAAAUUAGUUUGUUAGGAAUGUAUGUGGAAAUUAUGUAAGCAUCAACAAACAUUCCUACAGAAGGCAUAAAAAAUAGCAAUAGUAAAAAAAAAGUAUACCAAUUUUUUAAAUGUUAAACUCAGAUCACAUUGAUACCGUAGGUGGAAAUGAAUAAACUCAAAAUAAAUCCAGUUGUCAUUUAUAUAAUAAUUGGCAAUAGAUAACAGUCAGUAAAAUGAUUUGUUUUUCAGCUAAAUACCUUUUUACAGUUGACAUUAAUAGCAUCCUCUCUGGCAGCUCCAGUGUUUGGGUUUGUGGAUCAUAUAGCACUACAGACUUUGUGGUAAUUAGUUCUAUUUAGAUUUACCUACUGAAAAAUAUACCUUUAUAAGAAUAAGGAGAUGUGGUGUGAUUGGUAAUGAGAUAACUAUUUACCAAAUGAAUGUAAUUGAUGGCAUGCUUUAUUAUCAGACUCCCCUGAAAGUUUUCACAUGCUGCAGUUUGUAUUGGUUUUGUGCAUAAUCUUUUAAAAUUCAGAACUCUUUAUAAAAAAAAUGAAAUUGUGUUUACAUUGGUAAGUGAAAAUGUUAAAAAUACUAAAUAAGAAGAAAAAAGACAUAUUUGGAAAGUGAAGGGAAAGAUACUGAAGGACAUUCAAACUCAUAAGCAGAACAUAAACUGACUAUGCCUUGGCUUUGAAAGACAAAGACUAUUCAGAAAAACAUCAGUACACUAAACAAAACAUAGGUCCUCAAUUUGGAUCAAUAAAAAAAACGGGCAUACAAUUAAGAAUAUAAACUCAUUGAUUUAAACAAUUUCAUUUAAAUUAGUCUUAAUAUCCCCAUAGACCAGUAUGGAUCAUUAUUUUUUUCAAUCUGUGCAUCUAUCUGUUAGUUUGCAAUUUCAUCUCUUUAUCAGGUUUGAAUUUUAUUUAAAGUAAAGUAAGAAUAUGGAUCUGGAUCAUUAUGUAGUUUACCAUGAGGUUGAAUCACAGCAAUUUAAAUUUAGUACAUAUGUUGUUUUUUUUGGGGGGGAAAGGGGGGGGGGGCUCGUUGCCCAAGUGAUCUAAGUAGUUCACCUUCUCUAUAGCUAGAAAGGUUGUUAAUUUGAACCUCCAAAUGAUAAUUGACUAGAAUUGCCAAUUUUGCUUGCUGAAUGUCAUGGUUUUUGCCAUUUAGGUAUAUUCAAGGUUAUUACACCACUAUGAAUAGGUCCCCAUGACACAUUAUAUAGCCAGGAUAAUAUCAAACAUUACCAAUAAAAUACUUUAAGAAUUGGAUUUUGACUACUGACUCUUGUUUUUGAAAAAAAUAUCCCUAAUUUCAAAUAUUUACAAGAAAUUUAAAGGCUUGAUUUGUUUCAAUGAGAGAGUGCAGUGUUAGAUACCACCUUAAUGCAUAGAAACUGUGUAAAGUAUUUAUCCCCCUUGUCUAGUAUUAUUUUUGUUUUGCAGGUAUUUGACAGGAACAACAACAAUUGCCUCAGGUGUUGGUUACUAUAGAAACAGACAUCAAAGUGUAGAAAUAUUACAGGAUAAAAUGAAGCAUUGAUUGGAUUUUAUGAUUUACUGAUAGAUGUGUGUUAAUGAUAGAAAACAGACAUAACUGUGGAAGAAGGAUUGUUUUCAUACCAUUCAAUUGGAGGUUAUUA